GAACGCGAAGAACCUUACCCGGGCUUGAACUAAGAGUGACGAAUCUAGAGAUAGAUUUUUCUUCGGACACUCUUGGAGGUGCUGCAUGGUUGUCGUCAGCUCGUGCCGUGAGGUGUCGGCUUAAGUGCCAUAACGAGCGCAACCCUUUUCCUUGGUUGCCAUCAGGUAAUGCUGGGCACUCCAGGGAUACUGCCAUCGUAAGAUGUGAGGAAGGUGGGGAUGACGUCAAAUCAGCACGGCCCUUACGUCCGGGGCUACACACGUGUUACAAUGGGGGGUACAGAAGGUCGCUACCUGGUGACAGGAUGCUAAUCUGAAAAACCUCUCUCAGUUCGGAUUGGAGUCUGCAACCCGACUCCAUGAAGCUGGAUUCGCUAGUAAUCGCGCAUCAGCCAUGGCGCGGUGAAUACGUUCCCGGGUCUUGUACACACC
rnacentral:rRNA from 1 species